rnacentral:lncRNA from 1 species
CAGGAACCUCUGGGGAGCUGGGUGGGCUGAGGCCGAUCAAAAUUGAACCAGAGGUUCUGGACAUCAUUCAGGUCACUGUCCCAGACGCCUUGCCAACCUCUGAGGAAAUGACAGACUCAAUGACUGGGCACCUGCCAUCGGAGGAUUCUGGUUAUGGGAUGGAGACGCUGACAGGCCCAGCUGCUUCGGGAUCGCCAAGCUCUGGAAGAUUCUGGAGGCCAGCAACAGCAUCCAGUUUGUCAUCAAGAGAUUAUUCCACUCAGACCAGCGACUCCUCUGUGGCCCUAUCCAGAAGUGGACUCAAUGCAAGAGGACCAUUUUCCACAUCCACAGGAAUGCAUCCCCAACCAAAGUUUGAGACCAGCCUGACCAACAUGGAGAAACCCCGUCCCUACUAAGAAUGCAAAAUUAGCCGGGUGUGGUGGCACAUGCCUGUAAUCCCAGUUAUCGGGAGGCUGAGGCAGGAGAAUCGCUUGAACCUGGGAGGUGGAGGUUGCAGUGAGCUGAGAUCGCACCAUUGUACUCCAGCCUGCGCAAGAAUGAAACUCCAUCUCAAAAAAAAAAAAGGAAUGCAUCCCCAACCAAUCAGCAGCUCCCAUUCCCUAGUCACGUCCCCCAUCGACCCACCAAACUAUCCUUGAAAAACUUUAGCCUCUGAAUUUUUGGAGAGGCUGAUUUGAGUAAUAAUAAAACUCUGGUCUCCCGUUUAAUCGGC